AAGGAAGAUCACACAAUUCAAAAACUAUGCCCAGACUUUGGUAAGCCUGGUGGAUGCAGAGGUGGACUUGGAAUUAGUUCCACCUGCCUGAGGGGCUCUGUGCUGUGCUCCCAGGAGCCUUAAGGGUCCUCCUUCAGCAAGUGCAAGUUUACAGAAUCCUGGCCCCACCACCUCCCAUCCUUUGACCUUGGACCAGCUUCAUAAACCUGCUGGGCCUCAGCUUCCCCAUCCAUGAAAUGGGGUUGAGCAUAACCCUAUUUGAUCAUUGCAAAUAUUAAGAUAAAUUAGUUCCCAUUCCACAACCAGCACAGAACCUCUUUGACCCCGUCUGGUUGAUUUCACAGCUUCCAGUGCUGCACUAGCCGAUUACUGGCUGUAACAACCUCAUUCUGCAAAAAUCACACUGGCUUUUACAGGUCUUUACGGGAAGGAAAUAGGCUAAUGCACUGUUUUCCCAUGUAUGUCAGUAGCCCAAUCUCUCUCUAAUGGGCUCAAAUUGCAGUUUUAAAACCUAAACCAUGAACUUAAACUCUCUCGCAGACAUGUGCAGGAGAGAAAUCCUUACUUCUUAUGCUUCUAGUGCAAAAAAAAAAAAGACAGAGAAAAACAUGUGGCCUGCCUUCCUCUGAACAACAGACUGCAAAAAGAGGCGUAGCAAAGUGACUGUGACCUCAAUAGAACUUUUCCUGCUAAAAGGCUACUUUUUGAACACUGCUGCCAUAUUCCCACAGCAGACGCCCAGGCCCUCUGAGCUGCUUGGAUUGGUGCUGCUGUUAAGGACAUUGCCUUCAAUCAACAAGUUCUAGCCAAGAAAUCGGUACAUGUUGCAGAACAGUACAUGGGCAUCAUUUAACCGGAGACCUAUAGCGGUUCUAUGAGGUAGACACUACACCCAAUUCUAUAAUUGAGGAAAUAGACUUUGAUAUGGUCAGUUACUUGUCCAGAGUCUCACAAUUGGUGAGUGGCAGGGACAAGACCGCAGCCAGGGCAUAUUGACUUCGGAAGUCACACUCUCUCUCUACUGUCCACAGCCUUCAUCCUGGCUGGAUUCUGGUCCUGCCCUCUGAUAGACUGACCUACCCCAUUAACAUCCAAUGCCCAUCAUGAAAAACACAGAUGUAUUGGCUAGACAAAGCAAGAGGAACUCGUCACCCAAACCAUGUACUGUAUCAUUUUACGUGCUCUCCAUGAACAAAAUAAACUUUUCUUCUUUGUAGUUGA